rnacentral:rRNA from 1 species
UACGUAGGGUCCGAGCGUUGUCCGGAGUUACUGGGCGUAAAGGGUGCGCAGGCGGCGGUUCGCGUGGCGAGAUGAAAUCUCCUGGCUUACCUGGGAGGAUGGUCGCCAGACGGGAUCGCUUGAGGGUCGGAGAGGGGCGUGGAAUUCCGGGUGGAGCGGUGAAAUGCGUAGAGAUCCGGAGGAACACCGGUGGCGAAGGCGGCCUGCUGGGCAGUGGCUGACGCUGAGGCGCGACAGCGUGGGGAGCAAACAGG